rnacentral:rRNA from 1 species
GUGCCAGCCGCCGCGGUAAUACCGGCAGCCCAAGUGAUGACCGAUCUUAUUGGGCCUAAAGCGUCCGUAGCUGGCUGCGCAAGUCCGUCGGGAAAUCCACGCGCUCAACGCGUGGGCGUCCAGCGGAAACUGCCUGGCUUGGGGCCGGAGGACUCGAGGGGUACGUCCGGGGUAGGAGUGAAAUCCCGUAAUCCUGGACGGACCACCGGUGGCGAAAGCGCCUCGAGAGGACGGACCCGACAGUGAGGGACGAAAGCCGGGGUCUCGAACCGGAUUAGAAACCCUUGUAGUCC